rnacentral:rRNA from 1 species
GACGAACGCUGGCGGCGUGCCUAAUACAUGCAGGUCGAACGCUUCUUUCCUCCCGAGUGCUUGCACUCAAUUGGAAAGAGGAGUGGCGGACGGGUGAGUAACACGUGGGUAACCUACCCAUCAGAGGGGGAUAACACUUGGAAACAGGUGCUAAUACCGCAUAACAGUUUAUGCCGCAUGGCAUAAGAGUGAAAGGCGCUUUCGGGUGUCGUUGAUGGAUGGACCCGCGGUGCAUUAGCUAGUUGGUGAGGUAACGGCUCACCAAGGCCACGAUGCAUAGCCGACCUGAGAGGGUGAUCGGCCACACUGGGACUGAGACACGGCCCAGACUCCUACGGGAGGCAGCAGUAGGGAAUCUUCGGCAAUGGACGAAAGUCUGACCGAGCAACGCCGCGUGAGUGAAGAAGGUUUUCGGAUCGUAAAACUCUGUUGUUAGAGAAGAACAAGGACGUUAGUAACUGAACGUCCCCUGACGGUAUCUAACCAGAAAGCCACGGCUAACUACGUG